CAGUCAAGCACCUUUCUCAGGCUCCCACCAGCGUGCAGCCAAGGUGAGUUUUUCAAGAAAACAAAAAAUGCAAGUCGCACUGGCAAAUUAACAUUAUUCACCAUGAUGUUCAAACUGUGGAAACCCUGGACCAAUGCGAUCCGUAGUAUCACUGAUAAAUGCCAUACAUCCAUUAUCUUAACAGCCUAUCCCUUGAGGCCACAGGGUGUCUAGAGCCUAUCCCAGCUAGUAUUGGGUGAAGGUAGGGUUCACCCUGGACAGCUCACCAGUCUAUCACACGGUUAACCUAUUCAGUUAGCAGGCUGCAGACAACCUCUAAGUGGCCCCAAACCUAACCCUAGCACACGUGAAUCCAACACAUGGAAAAAUAAUUAAAACUGGGACAGGAAGGAUCUCAGAAGUGCCAGUUAUUGGGAGAAAUUUUGAAUGUAAACAAUACAAAUUAAGUUAGCAGCUUACCAGUCUAGAAGAUGAAGAGCAAGCUUGGAAUCCAGUUUGAAGCCGAUGCUAUUCCACAGUUGUCUCCAUCUCUGAAAGCUGCUCCAAUAUUUAUGUUGUGUUUAUUGUCAGAUUCUCUUUUAGACUCUUCAGAAAAGUCUGUUCCAUUUUUUUGGCCUGCUUUUUAGUGUAGGCAGUUGUUGCCAAUGCAGGAAAAUUUUCUCCCUGACUAUCCGUCAUUGCAAUUCAGUGUUGUGAACACGCAUCGGCAUUUACUUGUGGGCCCAAUCCCAAACCACCCCCGACAGACUCGCCCUACACACUCCUCCUCCGUUUGUGCAUCCCAGCGGAGGCUCUGCCAUAUUGAAGGCCGUCCCAAACCGCAAAGUGCAGAGGGAGGGUGGACUGUUCAGCCCUUAUAUAGCGAGUCUGCACCGGUGCAAACUUACAACGGGGUUUGCAUGUAGUGUGCUGGCAAAAAUGGGGGAGGAGGAAACAACACACAAAUGUAAGUUCUGUAUGUGUCCACCUUUGUCUCACUGACAAAAAUAAUAAUAAUAAUAAUAAUAAUAAUAAUAACAAAAGAUGUGGUUUGGAAAGAUCAAGUCUUACUCUGUGCUGACGUUUGAUUUAAUUGUGCAGGCACAUGUCAAAUCUUAAAAGGGUUCAAAGAAGUGUGGAAUUGAUUACAAUCGGAAGUCUAAUUUAGCUCCUGUCACUGUGAUGGUCCCUGGAUUUAGGAUUUCACUAGGACAAUGAAAAACGAGGCAGCCGGUGUGGCUCAGAAUUGCACAUGAUGCCCAUUUACUUAGAAAAUAAACUCUGCCUUGCACAGGACAGGUCUUUGUGUUGCUAUGGCAAUGAAUCUUUCAGUUCUACGGUGGAGUGAGGAGGUUGUCCCAUACUCGCCCAUCUUGUUUAUACCCUUGCAUUUCAAUUGAUGCGCACUUCAGAGCUGCGAGUGUAACUUCAUUACAAGUGACACUCGAUAGUGAAGGGCGAAUGUGUAAGGGGUGGAUUGAGAUUGGGCCAUGGACUUUCUAAACUGGCCUGUGAUUGGCUGACAGCCCCCGUCAAAUUUCAAUUCAAUUUUCAAAUUCAAUUCAAUACCCAAGGUAGUUGAAACAACCUAACAAAGUUGAAACAAACCCUUCUACUUUGAAAAGUUAGAAGCAAGAGCAGCGACCAUGUCUUGUGUUGUUGGUUGCACAAACCAUUUUGAUAAGAACAAAAUGCACAAGUUUUACUGAAGGCCAGCAGCACUGAAUACAAGUGACGAGUUAAGAAGCUAUGCUCCGACUCCUCCACUGUUUCACCUGCCAUAUUAGCUGGACCUGCAAGUUACCUGCAUCAAAUGAGCCAAAGCAGCUGUCCUAUACUACAGUUAAGGAUGAGAAUGCUGAGGAGGUAACAAUAACAUAUACCCGGCCAUACAGGUGCAGCUCACAGUCAGGAUGCCGUUGUUUUUCAGUUCACAAUGACCCAGACUUCAUACAUCUCUAUCCUCUUCUCUUUGUCACUUUGUUUGUCCACAACUCCAUUAGGAUUGCUGGAGGAGGCAGGAUUUAUGACCUACACUGCAGCCCAUCACCAGAGGGUGCUGUUCUCACAGAGGUUUCACCCAGCGAGGAGGCAGACGGCGUCAAUUCUAUACAGUCUGUGGUGAAAAUUAAGCACUGGGUGCUACAACACACGUACUGCGAAACUUACAGCUCCACAAGCACGCCUGCUUCAGAUGGGAUGUGUAUGUAAACUCUCCCACUCUUUGUUAGCAGCACUGUCAAUAC